rnacentral:lncRNA from 1 species
GAGCCCAAGCAGCCUGUGACCAUAGAGGCAGGAAACUGUGACACUGGAGGCAGGCAGGGUGUGGGGUUUAUUCUUGUGUAUGCUGGACCUACAGUAAGUCCUCAAUAGCAGCCCCUUUAUUUCCAUCUUGCUUCAUUAGGUAUUAACACCAUUUCAAAGAAGAGGGAACUGAGGCUUAAGAGGUAGACACCGUUUUCCCAUCGUCAUGCACUGACACACUUAUCCAGUCAUCAGCUCAUAUCCACAUGAUAUUCACAUGAUUGCCACGUGGCGACUACUUGUUCAAGCCAAGCAGGAUUGACAACGCCUUCAGUGUUGUCCAUGCCUUUGAGGUGUAGGGGUGUAUUCUAGCAAAGCUAGACAGUGACCUGGCACUCAGAUCAGUAAGGAAAUCACAGAUGGGGCAGGAAACACGCAGGGAGGAGACAUGGUAUGUGUGAGCAUGGUGGAUUUCUGAAAACGAGAUAGGAAGGGACUUUGUAGGAGGCGACAUUCAUGCUCGGACUUCAAGGUACAACAAUAUCCUAAGGCCUGUGGGUCUGAGUAUUAGGCUUAUGGCUAUGAGCUAUCGCAGACUGCCAGAACACAGUCUACGGGCCAGGAACUCACUAGGUUGCUUGAUUGCAGAAGCUUGCUAUAGAGGAGGAAAUAGUAUCUGAGAGAGGUCAGGUGAGUUGACUGGGGUCAUAGAACUGCCAAAGAGAAGGGCUGAGAUUUGGAGUCCAGUGGGCUAGCUCAGAGUCAGGAUCCUAACUGUACAAGCACUCACUGCCUUCUAGAAAAUGCUAUUUCCAGCUGGAAGCGUUGGCACACACCUAUAACCCUGCCUGUAUUAGAGAUGAAAAAGUAGAAAGGUCAGGAGUUCAAGCUUUGCUACACAGCAAGGCUAGCCUGGACUAAACCAGACUGCCUGCCUCCCAACAUGGUGGGGUUUUGUGUGUGUGUGUGUGUGUGAUUUGCAUCUGUCACCAUGGUUCUCAAAUUUGUCCUGUUUUGCCUUGUCCUUGAGCUUGCCUGUAUACUCGCGGUCACUACCAAGUACUAAGGAAUAAAUGGGCCAGAGUUAUCACACUGAACAUAACAACAUCAGCACCUGCUUUCCCCUAUGCAAACAUCGCAAGCACCCCAAAUCUGCCGGAACCUCCCAGGGUCUGUACCAGCCUAGUUUGGUGAGGAAAUCUCUCAAGGUUCAGGAUGUAGAAAACUGGGGCGAGUUUGUGUCUUCCAGUAAGGAGGCCAGGGCUUGAAGGAAGGGGUGUUGGGGAGGAGUUCACAGUGAUGGUUAUCAAUGAGUGAAAACUUCCCCCUCCCUGCAUGUGGCUCACUGGAGGUCUCCCUCCCCUAAGCCUGUCACUGCAGAGACUUUCAACCGCCCAGCCCUGGCUGACUCCAUCAAGCAGUCAAACCUCCAGAAGCGAUGCCUGACCAGAUCUUGCUCCUGAUGCCUGAAGGCUCCUGCCAUUUGUGAUGCAAACAAUAGUCAUUCCAGCCCUACGACUUGUCAGAACCCCCUCCUACGAUCUGCAUUAUAGCAGCAAACAAAAUGGACGAAAAAGAAAGCCUGUCUUCAGAGAGCUUGUAUUCAAGGCUAACAAACUUCCUUACUAUCAUUUACUGUGCGGCUGAGGACCCAAAUAAAACCUCAUCUUCCUUAGCAUGACAAAGAUGAUUCGGGGUCAGUAAGAUGGUUUAGCAGGUUAAGGUGCUUGCAGCCAAGUCUGAUGACCUGAGUUUGACACCCAGGACUCAAA